rnacentral:rRNA from 1 species
UACGUAGGUGUCGAGCGUUGUCCGGAUUUAUUGGGCGUAAAGAGCCCGCAGGCGGCUUGGCAAGUUUGAGGUGAAAUCUCCCGGCUUAACUGGGAGGGGGCCUCGAAAACUGCCAGGCUUGAGGCAUGGAGAGGGAUGCGGAAUUCCCGGUGUAGCGGUGAAAUGCGUAGAUAUCAGGAGGAACACCGGUGGCGAAGGCGGGUCUCUGGACCGAUACUGACGCUGAGGAGCGAAAGCGUGGGGAGCGAACAGG